UUUGAUGUGCUCUUGGAUUCAAUUUGCCAGAAUUUUAUUGACUAUUUUUGUGUCGAUAUUCAUAAGGGAAAUUGGUCUGAAGUUCUCUUUCUUUGUUGAGUCUUUGUGUGGUUUAAGUAUAAGAGUAAUUGUGGCUUCAUAGAAGGAAUUCGGUAGGGCUCCAUCUGUUUCAAUUUUGUGGAAUAGUUUGGAUAAUAUUGGUGGUGGCUGGAACCAAAUUUUUAUUUGAUGUGAUCCUAGUCAAAAAAACCUGUUUGAAGACCCAGGCUGACUUGACCAACUGUCCUGGAAAGGACCAGUCUGGUCAGCAGGAGCAUGAAUUCUGCUCUUUCGAGGUAUAUGACACCCCCUGGGAGAAUGAUAUGGCCUUGAUAAGCUCCAGCUGUCACAAUAUAUAACUUAAUGUCAAGUGGCACAGUGCAGGGUGCAGAUGUCUCUGCCAUUGCCUCAUCACUCCAGUGGAUGACCUAUCCUUGAUGAAUGCUUACCAGUACCAACAUCAGCAGUUGAUUAGACUGCUGAGAAUAUAGAGCCCAAGUAUCUUUCCCUUUAUCUUUCCUCUGAAAAUGCCCACAUUUGCUUGUUUUUUCCUUGUUCAAUAAAAUGUUCAAGAGUUAUUUUUUUGUG
rnacentral:lncRNA from 1 species